GGGUUAUGAUCAGAUAUAAGGGGAUGACCAUAUACAGUGUGUACAUGGUUUUGCUUCAUCUGCCAUUCAAAAUUACCAAACAUUCUAUCCAGCCUACUACAUACUCUAUCAUUACCACUUUGUUGAUUAGACCAGGUAAAAUUGUUUCCUUCCCAAGGCAGCUCCACUAGUCCUGAUUGUUGAAUGCAGUUAUUGAAAUCCACA
rnacentral:lncRNA from 1 species